ACACAUGGGAUGAAUAAUGAAUAUGCACAUGUCAUCAAUCACAAUCAUAUCACGAUCACAUCAUAGUAUUACACAUCAUCUGUCUCAAUCACAACCAUAUCACGACCACAUUAUAGUAUUACACAUCGUCUGUCUCAAUCACAACCAUAUCACGACCACAUUAUAGUAUUACACAUCGUCUGUCUCAAUCACAACCAUAUCACGACCACAUUAUAGUAUUACAC
rnacentral:lncRNA from 1 species